CCAAUAGCGUAUAUUAAAGUUGUUGCAGUUAAAAAGCUCGUAGUUGAAUUUCGGGAUCAGCAUGUCGGUCGUGCCUCCGGUACGUACUGGCAUCGUUGAUUUCUACCUUCUGACGAACCAUGAUGUCAUUAAUUUGGUGUCAUGGGGAAUCAGGACUGUUACUUUGAAAAAAUUAGAGUGUUUAAAGCAGGCACACGCUUGAAUACAUUAGCAUGGAGUAAUGAAAUAGGACGUUUGACCCUAUUUUGUUGGUUUCUAGGAUCGACGUAAUGAUUAAUAGGGAUAGUUGGGGGCAUUAGUAUUCAAUUGUCAGAGGUGAAAUUCUUGGAUUUAUUGAAGACUAACUACUGCGAAAGCAUUUGCCAAGGAUGUUUUCAUUAAUCAAGAACGAAAGUUAGGGGAUCGAAGACGAUCAGAUACCGUCGUAGUCUUAACCAUAAACUAUGCCGACUAGGGAUCGGAUGAUGUUAAUUUUUUAAUGACUCAUUCGGCGCCUUACG
rnacentral:rRNA from 1 species